UACGUAGGGGGCAAGCGUUGUCCGGAUUUAUUGGGCGUAAAGCGCGUGUAGGCGGCUGGGUAGGUCCGCUGUGAAAACUCGAGGCUCAACCUCGAGACGUCGGCGGAAACCAUCCAGCUAGAGUCCGGAAGAGGAGAGUGGAAUUCCUGGUGUAGCGGUGAAAUGCGCAGAUAUCAGGAAGAACACCCGUGGCGAAAGCGGCUCUCUGGGACGGUACUGACGCUGAGACGCGAAAGCGUGGGGAGCGAACCGG
rnacentral:rRNA from 1 species